UGGGAGAGGGGGAUUCCGAGGGGACUGAGGGGUCGCGGGAGGAGGAAGCCGGCAACCAAAGGCACCGGCUCCCCGAACAGGGAGUGCGGCCUGGGCCUGGCUGGGUGGGCAGCUCCUGGGUUAUCAACUCAGGGGCAGGAAGGCUUUGGCCUUGGAGCCGGUUCGGCUGCUUUGCUCCAGGCCCUGGCGGCCCUCGCUUUCCAGUUGACCUUGCCCCCACGAAAACAGGGAGCAUUCCCAGAGAGAAGGAGGGAACCCGCGGGGCCUCCGGCGGUUUGGGGGAGUCACGUAUCAACCGGGAAACCAGGGCAACGGACGCGACAAAAUCCGACCCAGAGAAGUGUCCUUUAACAGAGCGAAUGAGCUGGGGGAGCUUUUAGAGGAGAAGACGGACCAGUCUAUUUUUGUGGUUAUUUUUUUAGUAAAGGGAAGCGAGAAAUAAGGGACAAGGAAACGGAAUCUGGAGUAUAACUUGUCUUUCCGGUCGCCCCACAUUUCCCCCUGGACCGAGCCAUGGGUUUCGACUUUCCGAAGGGCUGGAGCCUGGCCGGGAAAAGACAGAGCUCCAUACGCCCUGGCGCGGAGGAGUGAGAAGGCUGGAUCGCUUCUAGGGAGGCCCAAGUCCGCGGCUGCUAGAAGACGCCUUCGGAAAGAAAUCCGCUGAAAUCUGUCAUCCAGAGGGCGAGAGACAAGGCGCAGGGGUCCCCGAACCCCGGGAAAACUGGAAGAAAAUGUGUAAUGUGUGACUCGCUGGCAGGGCCAGCCAGGGGAGAUUUGAAAUGCUUUCGUGUUUUCAUUUACAGAGGUCUCCAUGGGCUCGGCACAAGGGGUUGGCCCCGGCAAGGUUAGCCUGUUUAGGCCCCAGAUGAGACUUGGGACGGCCCCGGUGGCAGUCAAUCCAGGGAGCCAUUUGUCCCACCCCGCGGGAAACGUGGAGACUUUAUGGCCACUCUGUUUGUAUUAUCUGCGUUAAGUCUUUCCCCACCAGUUUGAUCGAAACUGUUCGCUUUUACGAGGACCCAACGAAAAUUCCCCAUCAUAUUUAUCAGCCGAGGAUAAAAAUUUAGUAUGGGAACUGAUAUUUUCUCAUUUAUGGGGCGAUGAAAUUAAAGACCAAAGCAAUUGAGAAUUAUAUGGCUUUGGGGGGGUUCCCUCCGGGGGGUUCCCUCCCCCCUCUUUCACAUCUCCUUUAUUUUCCUGCCUGGUGUCCCUGUCCCUGGAGUUUGGCAUCCCAAUCUCCUGCCCUUGCCUCCCAUCUUGGGGUCUGCUGGGCCCUCUCCCCCAGACCCAGGUGCCUCUUGACCACCUCAGCUUUUCCUGGUCUUUCUCUCCGUGUUAGGAGCUGGGGGCCGGGACAGCACUCCCUGAGCCUCUCUGCCCAGGCCAGGCUGGGAUCGGCUGGGGCUGCGGAAGGUUUCCAAGAGCCUCGAAGGGGAAGGGUCUGAGCCCAGCCCGGGAGGGGUUGAGGGAGGCGGCAGAGUGAAGGAGACAAACUCCAGAUAACCUCUCAAAAACAUCAAGCCCCACGGCUUAACCUGGGGAACCAGCGGGAGAGAAGCAGAGUCACUCGGCUUUGAGACCUGUCUCCCCUACCAGCCUGACCCCCAUCCCAAACUCACUCCUUACCUCAGCCCUGGGUGGGGAUGGAGUCGCUUUCAGAAUCCUUGCCAUUAUUAAUGGAAAUAAUCCCCCUGGGAGAAGGAGCCUCGCGCCUCCACUCCCAUCCCCUCACAAGAACGAAUAGUGUUUAAAGUUGAAAUAAUUAGAAGUAUGAUAAACAUGGCCCAUUAAUGAAAAAAGAAAUCAAAUUCAUCAGCCUAAGUGGGACCCCCGGUGGGACAAAUGUUUCCCUUUAAUUACGCAGGAUAAACGCAACCCCGGAGCUGUUAAACAAGAACCGGAAGACGCCGACUUGAAUAACUUGUUGGGUUUUUGCAGACUUGGGAUUCUGCACCAGUGGAGACUAAAGGAAGGAAGACCUGAGGGUGAGGACGGGGAGAGGGGAGCAUUCGUGCGGGUCUGGGAAAGUACAGUCAGGUGUGAGUCCCAGCCCUUCCCCCUUGGGCUCCGUCUUUCCCGAGGCCAUGGGCAAAGGCUGUUUCCGUCCUAUUGUCCGGGCCUGGUGUUCAAAGGCACUCAGGCUGCCACGGCCAUCCCACGGCCAUCCCACUUGCCGCCUGCCGCCACUGCCAGGUGCCUACCGGCCAAGCCCCACCGGGCCAAGACCCUCAGGCCUGCACCCCAAGGGAACUGGAUUGGGGUCCAGAAGAAGUCUGUGUUGCUAAAAUCACCCUGUUAAGCCAUUUCCCCAACUUUCCGGGAGUGCUGCAUCUAUGCCUGACGCCCCGGGGCUCCCUCUUCUUGCCUCAACAUGGGGGAUGUGAAAAUCCAGGGGCUUCAGGCCAGAGCGGGCUCAGGCUGCACCUACCUUUUGACCAACCCCCCCUACCCCGAGAGCUCUGGCCCCCUGUGCCCUUCUUCCCAGUACCUAGACCCUGGAAGUGCAGCAGGGAUGACCAGCUGGGCCUCCUGCCGCCAGUGGGACUGUGACCAAGGGAGAGGUGGAGGGUGCGCCUCCCAGACUUCAGGGUGGUCAGCGGGUUCCAGACGGCAGGCUGAGGACUGGGGCGCUAGGGGUCCCCAUGUGAAAACAGAAGAAGGAAUCUAGUGCUCAAUGAACAGAAAGGAACCUCGACUGCUUUCCAGGCGCUAGCCCUCAAAGCACCCCAGAGGCACCCUGAUUUCUCCAAGGAAAAUUAGUGGAGCUUCCCCACAAGGCUAAGGACGUCAUCUAGGAAAUUCCAAAGAAGAACAGUUCCAAAGAAAAGGGAAAGAUGAGCGAAUUGGUCCUAAACCUCUGCCCCCAAAUAACGAAUUUGGAACAGAGAUCGCCA